rnacentral:pre_miRNA from 1 species
ACUUCCUAUCGGCAUCAAUGAGUGUGAUUCUAGUUCUUUCACAUUAAUUUUAUAUUGUGACUAGAUCCACACUCAUUAAUGUAGGUUUGGAG